rnacentral:ncRNA from 1 species
AUUAAUACGAAGACGAAAAAGUAGUAAUUAGGUUUGGUUUUUAUAAGAGAGAAAUGCCUAGUGGUGCAAGCAUUUUUAAAAACCGCUAAUGAAUUCAUUUUCUAAGUGAGACUAAUCAUCUCCGCAAUCCUGCGUUAAAGGGAAUAAGAGCCAGAUUUUUAUCUGGAACUAAGGUGGUACCACGGUUAAAUAUAAAUCGUCCUUUGA